UUAUUUGCUUUAUCAUUGUUUGAUAAUUUUAAUAUCCCUUACAAAGCUUCCCUCACCAUUCAUUCUAUUGCUUCUCUCCGGUGCUUCAUUGUUUUGUUUUAUCUCAUUCGCUCCCUUUGAGCCACCUGGAGGGUCAUUUGCACCAUCGAAUAGGAUGAGGAGGCUCACAAGAACGAUGACCUUGUUCCUCUUGUUGAGAAUUAUAGAUCUAAGGUCGAUUCCGAGCUGUCCAAUGUGGGUGAUAAUAUCUUGAAGCUGUCGGCCUCCAAUCUGAUUCCCUCCACUUCUGCUAGUGAGCUGAGGAUAUUGUCUCAUUUUGCAAGGCUGCACAAGUGUUGAUCCAACUGAAUGGGAGUCUCUGUCUAUGUAACAAUGUCUGGUGCGGAUCACUAAAAUUAUCAAUAGAUGUCAAGGCUUGGAGGCACCAGUCUUCGGAGCAUUGUGAGAAUCAUGAUAUGUAAUAUUUUUGACAAAUCAAAGAUAAUUACUAUUCACAAUAUCAAAGAUAGUUAAGCAUUAUCCAUAUUUCUAACAAAUCUAACUUAUAACAUCCUGAUGUAGAGGGCAAUUAAUUACCUUGGUAUAUUUGUUAUUAUUGUUUUGUCUUAUAAUUUUCAGUGCUUUCAAAAGGAGUUUGCAAGUGUGGACUCAUCAAAGACAACACAGUCAAACUCAGACACAAGUUGUUAGACUUGCAGUACUUCUACCCACAUUUUUUCCCAAAUAUUGUGUCCAAUGUAGGAAGAAGACUGAUAAAAAGGUGUCAAGCAUUGAUCAAAGUUGAGGUCUAAUGAAGAACAAAUCAUAGGAAGACUAAUUGCAUGGGAUUAUUAUUUCAAACACCUUUUAAAUGUAGGUGUGAAG